rnacentral:rRNA from 1 species
UACGUAGGGUGCGAGCGUUGUCCGGAAUUACUGGGCGUAAAGAGCUCGUAGGCGGCUUGUCGCGUCGGCUGUGAAAACCUGGGGCUCAACCCCGGGCCUGCAGCCGAUACGGGCAAGCUAGAAUUCGGUAGGGGAGACUGGAAUUCCUGGUGUAGCGGUGAAAUGCGUAGAUAUCAAGUGGAACACCAGUGGCGAAGGCGAGUCUCUGGACAUUUCCUGACGCUGAGGCACGAAAGCCAGGGGAGCAAACGGG